AUGGGGGGGAAGAGUAACAGGGGCUCAGCAAUGGGGUACAUGGGGCCUGGACGUAGGUAGGGAGAAGAGGUGUAGGGGAGAGGCCUGGCAUGUGUGGGAACUUCUUGGGGGCAGUGUGGCAGAGUAUGGUGGGUUUGAGGCAGGCUGGCUGGUGUGAAGACUUGGAGCCAAGUGGAGCUGCCUCUCUGGCCAGGAGCAGCUCAGCAACAGGCAGUGACAAUCCCAGGAGGUGAUUACAGCUGGAGGAAUUCUAAACAGUCCACUUCUCCUUGUCAUGGUGUUUGAGCGCAUUGUGCUCCUGUCUGAACAGAGGAAAUCACUGAGCUGCAGCUCCUCACUGCUUCCACAGACCUGCUUUGUGACAGAGUCACGAACUUUGCAGGAGUCACUGCAUCCUCUGCUGUGCUUGGGAUCAACCCUGGCAUCUGAAUGUCCCUCCUGCAGAUCUGCUUUUCCUAUCCAGACUCUUACCUGAGACCAAGACCUGGAUGAUGUUUUGAGACUAGACGUAUCUCUGCUGGAUGAUCUGAUGGAUGUACAUGGUGAUGUACUAGGGUGUAAGAAAUGGAAGCCCCAUAGAAGUGUUGUCCAUGCUGCAUUCAGCUGUGGGGAUGUUGGCUUAAAUGAUUGAUCUCCUAUUUGAAAUACCAAUUCUUGAUUUACAUCUUGAUUUUAGUAUCUUGGCACACCUUUCUUUUACAUAGUAAAGCAUACCUGGGGUUCUAGUAGAACACUGCUCUUGGAUCAAGCUCAAACCUCAUUGCUCUUCCCUGCCUUCAGCUGGAAACGGACAGACACCAUUUGUGACUGAAUAUCCUGAGUCACCGAUUCCCAGCUGGCAUGUGCGCUGCAGUUCCAUGUCUUCCUUUCCGAUUGCACUCCCUAGAGGAGAUUGGGAACAACUGCAGGCGUCAGCUCCAGCGUGGUGUCUGCGCUUGCCGGGAUCCACACAAUUGGUGGACAGCCCCUGUCUACGUCUAUGGGAGGUCAAAGUCUACUGCAAGCAGUGACUGAUACAAUUCCCUGUGUAACUCAGGCUGCACUGCCUGUGCCUCAGGUUCUAACAGCAGAAGAGUUUGUGCAAGAACACCUUGCUUUAAAUGCAGGUUCUCUGCAAAGCCAUCCACUUCAAAGCUUCAUAAAACAGAGCUUUGAAUAAAUUACGGAGUUAGAAAUUACACUGGCUGUGCCCGGCUUUGUGCCUGGAUGUGGGAAUACUUGGCACUGGGUGUGGAAUUCCAAGGAAAAUUGCACCUUUGCUGGCUUGCCAAAGAGCAGUAAGAAGGAAAACUACUGCAGAUGAGCAGACACGGAAAUCUCCAGUUUCCCUUUCCAGAGAAGACAUCCUGAAGAACCUUUGGAUAUUAAUACACAGUAUAACUGAUGCAACACUGGGCAAACACUGGGAUUAACAGAAAUUACUGCUUCUGGAGGGGCCGCGGGGCAGCACCGCCUGCUGGAACUGCUCUUACCUUUAAAAUGCGUCCCUGUGGAAUCAGUGGGAAGUGGGGAAGGCCUGCCAAGUGUGGACACACCAUGUCAGGGUGUGGGAUGCCUGUGCUUCUUGUGCCAGGUGAUGAGCCCCAGGCUGUAUUAUUUUGGAUGUUUUUUCCUCUCUUUUGCAAGCUUUAGAUAAUAUACUGAUAACAUGACACUUCUAAGCAGUGACAUAGUUGCUUUGUCUUUCACAGAGACAGCCCACCUUCCUCUGUAUUCACAUUUCUGGUAUGUGUGUGGAGACGAUUUGUCUAUAAUUGUUUGCUUUCUUCGGAGUCUUUUGAAGUUUAAAUCUUCAAGCCAGCUCCCUAUAUUAAAAAUAAAUUCUUCCAAGCCACCAAUAAAAUGUCAGCUGUGAUUAAAGCCCGACUCCUCAUUUUAAGACUUGUCUCCUAAGCACUGUGAGGUCACUCAAUGAGUCAGCGUUUGAAAGGACCAGGACCGUUAUUGUUUGGGUAAAGCCCAAAGUUCAUCAUUGCUUGCUCAAAUGGUUUCAUCACGCUUUAAAUUGCUUUGCAUUGUGCUGAAAGAAAUGUAAACUGCAGGAACGAUUUGGCAGAGAACUUGUGAUAUUUCAGGCAUCUCAAAUCUUGAAAAAACCCUCUGUAUAUUAAUGUCGAAGCUGGUAUUUCUGGUAAGGAAAAGCUUUACCUUCUGUGUAGUAAAGAGGAGAAUGAAGUGAGAAGCUGUG